UUUCAAGCGAGUGGCGAACGGGUGAGUAACACGUGGAUAACCUGCCUCAAGGCUGGGGAUAACAUUUGGAAACAGAUGCUAAUACCGAAUAAAACUUAGUAUCGCAUGAUAUCAAGUUAAAAGGCGCUACGGCGUCACCUAGAGAUGGAUCCGCGGUGCAUUAGUUAGUUGGUGGGGUAAAGGCUUACCAAGACAAUGAUGCAUAGCCGAGUUGAGAGACUGAUCGGCCACAUUGGGACUGAGACACGGCCCAAACUCCUACGGGAGGCUGCAGUAGGGAAUCUUCCACAAUGGGCGCAAGCCUGAUGGAGCAACGCCGCGUGUGUGAUGAAGGCUUUCGGGUCGUAAAGCACUGUUGUAUGGGAAGAAAUGCUAAAAUAGGGAAUGAUUUUAGUUUGACGGUACCAUACCAGAAAGGGACGGCUAAAUACGUGCCAGCAGCCGCGGUAAUACGUAUGUCCCGAGCGUUAUCCGGAUUUAUUGGGCGUAAAGCGAGCGCAGACGGUUGAUUAAGUCUGAUGUGAAAGCCCGGAGCUCAACUCCGGAAUGGCAUUGGAAACUGGUUAACUUGAGUGUUGUAGAGGUAAGUGGAACUCCAUGUGUAGCGGUGGAAUGCGUAGAUAUAUGGAAGAACACCAGUGGCGAAGGCGGCUUACUGGACAACAACUGACGUUGAGGCUCGAAAGUGUGGGUAGCAAACAGGAUUAGAUACCCUGGUAGUCCACACCGUAAACGAUGAAUACUAGGUGUUAGGAGGUUUCCGCCUCUUAGUGCCGAAGCUAACGCAUUAAGUAUUCCGCCUGGGGAGUACGACCGCAAGGUUGAAACUCAAAGGAAUUGACGGGGACCCGCACAAGCGGUGGAGCAUGUGGUUUAAUUCGAAGCAACGCGAAGAACCUUACCAGGUCUUGACAUCCUUUGAAGCUUUUAGAGAUAGAAGUGUUCUCUUCGGAGACAAAGUGACAGGUGGUGCAUGGUCGUCGUCAGCUCGUGUCGUGAGAUGUUGGGUUAAGUCCCGCAACGAGCGCAACCCUUAUUGUUAGUUGCCAGCAUUCAGUUGGGCACUCUAGCGAGACUGCCGGUGACAAACCGGAGGAAGGCGGGGACGACGUCAGAUCAUCAUGCCCCUUAUGACCUGGGCUACACACGUGCUACAAUGGCGUAUACAACGAGUUGCCAACCUGCGAAGGUGAGCUAAUCUCUUAAAGUACGUCUCAGUUCGGACUGCAGUCUGCAACUCGACUGCACGAAGUCGGAAUCGCUAGUAAUCGCGGAUCAGCACGCCGCGGUGAAUACGUUCCCGGGUCUUGUACACACCGCCCGUCACACCAUGGGAGUUUGUAAUGCCCAAAGCCGGUGGCCUAACCU
rnacentral:rRNA from 1 species